rnacentral:lncRNA from 1 species
ACUCCCCACCCGGGGCUGGUGCUGGCACGGCUCGGGGUGAGCAUGUGGGUGGGAUUGGGGUGCUGUGGGGGAGGAGAGUUUGGGGGGGACGGGGCAGGCUCUGGCCUGGGCCUGGUGGGUGACCACCUGGAGGCCCAGGCUGGCUGCCACCACUCCGGCCAAGGUCAGUCACGAGGGGGUCACCCCAGCUCCCUCCUCCUUAUCCCACAGCCGCCCCCCCUCGGGGGGGCAAGGAACAGCAGCCUGGCUGGGGUGGGGGGAGGCCCGGCGUCUCUCCAGAGGGCUGGGUGUCCUCGCACCGUGUGGCAGCCGCCCCCAGAGGGAUGAUUCAAAGCAGCCUCGGAGGCUCUGCCGACUGGUCCCGGAAAGCCAGCGCCGUCACCCCGGCUGCCUCCUGUGGGCACAGUCCUCCAUCCAGGCCCCACUCGAAAGGAAAACUGGCUCCACUUUGGGAAUGCCCCGGAGGACACAGACCCUGGACCCUGAGAGGAAGGGGAGGGGUGGCAGGUGCCAGACUAGGAUUGCUGUCUGGGCCACGACCCCCGGUCCCCUGGCAAGGGCACCGCUGGUCCUUCCUUCCACCCCAGCCCAGAAGUCUCCAGGCAGUGCCCCUUCCAGGCGACGCCUGCAGUCCUGCUGCCUGCCGACCCCGAAGCGGGAAGCAGCGCCGGAGGGCGAAGCAAAGGCCACGUGCUUGCUUUUAGAAAAGUACCCGCGUGGCCUGGGAGCGACAGAGGCCCACGCCCCCGGGGGUCAGGUGGGGCGAUACUCCCUUUCUCCUUUGCACUUUUCUAGGCUUUCCCAGUGUUCCUGCAGGGAGUGUCUAUUUGUUGAGUCUUUGCCUUUUUUCCAGUUGAGGUUAUGUUCACAUAACACGCACUUAGUAUGUAAAGUGUGCAAUUCAGUGGCGUCUGUGCACUCCCAGUAUUGUGCAAACACCAGCCCUCGCUCGUCUCAGAACUUCUUCACCACCCCGUAAAGACCCUCCCCGGAUCCGAGACGUCGUCGCGCCCCGUUUCUCGCUCCCGAAUCCUCCGGGAAUGGCUGACCCGCGCCGCCCCCGUGGACCCGCCUCGUCCGGGUCCGCCACGUGAAAAGCACCCGGGGAGGGGGGCCGGCGGCCUUUGUGUCUGGCUGCUUUCACGCUGCAGUGUCCUCAGGUCCACGCACGUUGCCUCUGCCCCUUCACUCCCUUUAGGGGUGAACGCCAGCCCACAGUUGGAGGUCCAGUUCUCCGUGGACAUUGGGGUCAUUUCCCCCUUUUGGAGAUUGUCAGUAACGUGUCUAUGAACAGGAAAGGUUUUUAGUUUUGCUUUGUUUCGUUAUUGCCUUUUUUUCUUUUGGUCUUUUUAGGGCCACACCUGCGGCGUAUGGGGGUUCCCAGGCUAGGGGUCCAAUCAGAGCGGUAAGUGCUGGUCUACACCACAGCCACAGCCACAGCCACGCGGGAUCUGAGCCACCUCUGCGACCUACACCACAGUUCAUAGCAACGCGAGAUCCUCCACCCACUGAGCGAGGCCAGGGAUCGAACCUGAGUCCUCACGGAUGCUCGUCAGGUUCUUUAACCACUGAGCCACGAGCCAUGAUGGGAACUCCCCGUUUUUGUCUUUUCAGGGCCACAUGUGCAUCCUAUGGAAGUUCCCAGGCUAGGGGUCAAAUUGGAGCUGCAGCCACCGGCCUACACCACAGCCACAGCGAUGCAGGAUCCGAACCGCAUGUGCAACCUACACGGCAGCUCACGGCAACGCCGGAUCCUUAACCCACUGAGCGAGGCCAGGGGUCAAACCUGGGUGCUCAUGGAUCCUGGUCAGACUCAUUUCCACUGAGCCAACCCAGGGACUCCCCUGCUGCACCCUUGUAGGUUCCCAGCAGCACACGGGCAAGUUUCCGUUUUAGAAAAAUCAAACCAUCUCAACAGGCGCGAAGCGGUCUCGCAUUCUCAUUUUGAUUCGCAUUUCCCUUGUGACCAGUGACAGUGCAUCUUUUCCGGAGUUCGCUGGCCACUUGCACAUCAUCUUUGGGGAAAUGUCUCUUCAAGUCCUAGACCAUUGUUUAAAUUCGAUGAUCUUUUCUGGCUGAGUUUCCUCUGUGUUCUGGACCCUAUCAGAUGCAUGUUCCUGGGCCUCUUUGCCUUUCACCCUCUGACUCUGCCCCUUGAUGCAGAAGGCGUUUGUCUCUCUGGUUGCUGUGUCUUCCGUGUCACAGCUCAGAAGCCAUUGCCUUGAAGACUUACCACACGUUUUCUUCCAAGGAUGUUUGGGUCUCGCUCCUUGGGUUUAGGUUGUCGAGCCUUGAGGAGACAUUUGUGUGUGACGUGAGCUCGGAUCAGACUUCAUUAUUUGGCAGCUGGAGACCCACUCAUCUCAGUGCCGUUUGUUAAUCUAUUACUUUCACAACUACGAAAAUAAGUUAAAAAAAAAGCCUGUCCUGGAGUUCCCGUCGUGGUGCAGUGGUUGGCGGAUCCAACUAGGAACC